rnacentral:misc_RNA from 1 species
UUAAGUUCAGCGGGUAGUCCUACCUGAUUUGAGAUCAAACGUUCAAAGGGCUGUCCUCACUGAGGAGAGACGUCUGUGAGCUCCAGCGAACCUCCACUGCUGAAGGUUACCUGGUGGAAAACCACAAGCGUAGAUAGUUAUCACACCUGUGAUGCCCACCAAACACUGGCAAGCUGAUUCAUUUGAGAGGAGCUGACCAA